UUGAAACAGGAUCCCAGCGGAGGGUGGGGUGAAGACAGCGGGUCUGCUCGCUCCAGACUGCGGGGGAAGAGGUAGGCGCUUGCCUGGCGGCCCAGGAAGCGGGACCCACAUUCCUCAGCGGGGAGGGUCUGCUCCAGCCCUGCUCCCGCCGACAGGGAAGGUCCCAGCCGCGAUUGCGGAAGGGGGUCGGAGGUGAACAGCCUCUGCGCUCCCAGGUACAGCCGGCCAGGCUGCCGACUGGAGGAAAAAGCGAGAAGCCCCAGUCCCUUCCUGCCGUCUCGAGGGCAGUCCAUCCUCGGGCUUCCGCCUUUCUUUGAUCCCGCCUCCUCUGAUAGAUCACUGCAUCUAUCAGUCCUUCCUGACUACCUCCAACUCCAGCUUCCAAAGGCGGCCGCUGACUUCACUAAGCCGUUGUGGAGCACACCCCUCAGUCCUCCGCCAGCGCUGGUAACGGUGCUCGUGACGAAAGAAUAACUGAGGAUGGCACCGGCACCGAUCUAGCAAUUUAGCCAAGAUUACAUAACCAGCAAAAGCAGAGCCUGACAAGAUCCCAAAUCCAGCCAACUGCUGAGUGCUUACUAUGUGCCAGCCAUUAUUCUAAGCCCUUUAUAGGAACGAUUGCAGUCACAGAAGAAAGAAACUGAGGCACGGUCGCACAGCUAGUGUGUGGUAGACCUGGGAUUUGUAACAGGGGAACGCUGCUCUUCACCACCUAUUCUGUUUUCUUUUUGACACUUGUUAUAUUUAGUUCAACACUUGAUUAUAAUGUCUGGCGUUGUUUCUAAUUGUUUUAAUCUAUAUAGCUUAUUUCCGAUAAAGAUCGCCAUCUUUCCUUAGGGCAGAAGUCACAGGAUGCACUCAGUAAAGCCAUGGCGAAUUCAGGGGCCUAUGGGUUCCCAGCCCUGGUUUCUCCAUCUUUCCCAGAGGGCAGAGCAGCCAUGCCAAGGAACCAGCGGGGCCCAGCUCUGCAUACCCUUCCUUUGGUUUCUGUGCCAGACCAUACGGGAAACAUGGGUUGGUUAUAACUAGAUU
rnacentral:lncRNA from 1 species